rnacentral:rRNA from 1 species
CCCUUAGAUGUUCUGGGCCGCACGCGCGCUACACUGACGAAUGCAACGAGCUUAUAACCUUGGCCGAAAGGUCUGGGUAAUCUCCAAAUUUCGUCGUGAUGGGGAUAGAUUAUUGCAAUUAUUAAUCUUCAACGAGGAAUGUCUAGUAAGCGCAAGUCAUCAGCUUGCGUUGAUUACGUCCCUGCCCUUUGUACACACCGCCCGUCGCUCCUACCGAUUGAAUGGUCCGGUGAAGCGUUCGGACCGUGGCCUUUGGACGGUUCGCCGUCUGUUGGCUGCGGGAAGUUCGUUAAACCUUAUCAUUUAGAGGAAGGAGAAGUCGUAACA